rnacentral:lncRNA from 1 species
GCUUCAUACCGACAGAAGGUAGCCCGAUAUUACAACACCAAGGUCAAGCCAAACUUUUCAGGCCUGGAGACUUAGUCCUGAGAAGGGCAGAAGUCUCGAAGCCCCUGGACCAAGGGAAGCUGGCUCCGAACUGGGAAGGACCCUACAUGGUAGCAGACACCUAUGGCCCGAGGGCUUACCGACUGGAGACUCUGGAAGGAAAACCC